GCAUCGGUGGUUCAGUGGUAGAAUGCUCGCCUGCCACGCGGGCGGCCCCGAUUCCCGGCGCCGAUGCA